rnacentral:lncRNA from 1 species
ACCGACCUGCUAACUGGAUCAACCGAACACCAUCAGAACGGCAAGCAAGAUGAGUUCUCAUUGGUAAAUCUUACGGAUCCAUAAUGGUGCAUGUAAUACAGUGAUUUUGUGCUUUCUAGGUUUCCUAUGAUUUGUUAGAUAAGUUUUGGUGUUUGAUGCUUGUAAGAGAAAUGUGUAUUUAUUUGGACAUACUGACUGGUGUAAUAGAAUACAUUUCACAGAAUUUUGAAGUUGAAUUGGAGAGAUUCUUUGGUAGUUUAAUCUGUCUGAGUAUAAUCAAUUGAAAUCCUAGGUGUUUGCCAUACAAAACUAGCUCAGAAGGGUAAGGUUGGGCAGCCAUUAGGAAGUUCAACCCUACCAUUGAUGUGCAGAUAAAAAGAGCAUAACUGACUAAACUGGAAAAAGGGUUGAGACUUCAAGGAAAUCGGUAUCCUCAAUUUGUUCGACAAAGAGAUAUGGUUGUGGUGGCUGAUAGGCCUGGCAUCAAAGGUGUGGCUGAUUACGAGUUGUCCAUGAUCUUGUUGAUCAGCUUUCUUUUUAGGCUUAAAUUUACAAACAUUAAGGGGACAUACAAAUUAGCAUGUCCACAACCUUGAGAUAUUGAUUCACUGGCUCAGCCACCAGCUGGCUAAAGUAAAUAGAAUCAAUUUUUCACAUACAUUCCUUGCCUGAUAACUUUUUUUGUUGACAGCACCGAGCCAUUAGCUGGGGAAAUUCCCUUGCUAAAAAGUUUUGUUUCUUAUGAGCUCGGAUCUUAAAUCUUCUGCAGCAUUAACAUUAUAAGCAUCGAUGUUAGGUUCUUUGCCAGCAUUGUUUUGUGAUAAUGAUUGGUGGAAUCACCUUGCCCCUGUUCUUCUUUAGUGAUGAUUGGCUGAAUGACUUGUUUAGUAAUUAAGAUACCUAUCCCUACAGAAAAAAUAUAUAAAUGUUCCAAACUAAAUAUUGAAUUUAUAGAGAUUAAUAUAGUGGGACAUAUCAAUUUGAAUGGAAUAAGAUAAUAAGAGCUGAAACCUCUCUUUAGUAUAAUACAAAGUCUUGUGUCCCUGACUGACCAAGUGGAAGAAAGAAACAAGACUUCUCAGCACGUCUGAGAUGGGGAGUUGCCACCGCUGCAAAGUUCGAUCCAAAGCAUGACUAGGUUCGGUCUUGGUGUCACUAUGAUUCUCCUCUCGUUCUUCGUCUCAACCUCGUCCCUCAUUUUUGAAUGCCGCUUGGUAUAAGACGCGAGACCGUCGAAAUCAAAAAGACUAUGUCUCUCUUCAGCAUUCCAUCGAAUAGAUGUCGUGCUUCGCUGCCUACCACUCUUCUCACAGGCAGAGAGCCUGAGAAUAUUGCAUCCUGGCAAGCGAGGACGACAGCAGUGAGGGAGGUGGAGUUCGCCGGAGAUCCGGCACGGCCGCCGGAUGAUUAGGAUAUGCGGAGCGGCUGCACGCGUAGAAAGAAACCAG